rnacentral:rRNA from 1 species
CGGGGGGCGAAGCGUUGUUCGGAAUUACUGGGCGGUAAAGGGUAGGCGUAGGCGGCUUUUUAAGUUCGGAUGUGAAAACUACUGGGCGUCAACCCACGAGCCUGCAUCCGAAACUGGAGAGCUCGGGUUCUGGAGGGGAAAGCGGAAUUCCUGGUGUAGCAGUGAAAUGCGUAGAUAUCAGGAGGAACACCGGUGGCGAAGGCGGCUUUCUGGACAGAUACCGACGCUGAGGCACGAAAGCUAGGGGAGCAAACAGGAUUAGAUACCCUGGUAGUCCUAGCCCUAAACGAUGGAUACUUGCUGUGAGGGGGAUUGAAGCCCCUUGUGGCGAAGCUAACGCAUUAAGUAUCCCGCCUGGGGAGUACGGUCGCAAGGCUG